rnacentral:rRNA from 1 species
AUGAGCGCGUCCACGCUCCUCCGCCCCGCGCCUGCGCUUGCGCUCCCGGCGGCGGCCGCGCCCUGCCCCGACCUCGCGUCGGCCGCCUGGUUCAUGCCCCUCCCGCCUCCCCCUGCUCGCGGUCCUGGUGGCGCCUCUGGCCUUUCUGCGCUGCAGGGAGGGCCUCUGCUCUCUGCUACGCCGGAUCCAGAUCCACCUCUGGCGGGGCACGACGGAUCUGUCGCCCUGGCCUCCGAGGAGUUCAUGCCCAUCUCGCGGGCUGUCGCGAUGCGCUUGGGUCAGGCCCUGGCUGGGUCGGGACAUGGCGCUACAUCUCCGCGCAUUCAAGGGCGGACGGGCGCUGCAUCUCCGCGCAUUCAUGGGCAGGCAGGCGCUGGCAUUAACUAUGGCGAUGCUGAGCAGCUGGCUUCCUCGUCCCUUCCUGCUCCUAGCGCGUCUUCAAUGCCGGACGCGGGGCGCGAGACGGAGGUGACCGGCGACUGGCACCUCGUCGUGUCUCGUAAAAGCCCGCGCCGCCCGGCUUUGGCCGCUGCAACAUUCAAGCCGGCACCCAUCCCUCGCUGGCUUCUGGGGCGCUGUUGUCGGUGCCUCUUCCGCGGGCACCGAGCUGCGGUUUGCCGUGACCCGAUCCGCUGCUCCCGCUGCCUACAAAAUGGGCACAAGUCGCGCGGCUGCCACAAUAAGUGGAAGCCUCUGAGUGAACUCGACAACCUCGCCGUCCCUCCACCGCCUCUUCCUCGUCCUGCUGCGGCUCCUGCUGCCCUCCAAGCACCCCCGCGCCUAGGCCGUGGCUGGGAGACCUCUCUUCAGCGCCCUAUGCCUCGUUCCGGUGCUGCUCCUGCCGUGAUGCUGCGUAUGGGCGACGCUGCGCUGAGGCCGGAGGAGGACUUCGUCGUGGUCCCGGCAACGCCCGAGAUGCAAGCGGAGGCGGCCAUCCUCUCCUCCAACUGUGCAGUGGCCUGGCUGGAGGGUGCCAGGCAGGACGUCCCCUGCCAUCAGGUGGCCGCCGAGCUCGCAACGGCCCUGGGUGCAAGGCCGGCCGACGUUGAGGUCGUCAAGCACUACCCCGAGCAGUUCUUCGUGCGCUUCUUGCAUCAGCACCACUGCGCUGACGCGGUGUCUCGUGGUGAUCUCCGCGGCUCUGGUCAUCGCAUCUAUGUGCGUGAAUGGCGACUUGAGGCCCAUGCUGACAACGAAGACCAGCUCCACCACGUCCGCCUCUGUCUAGAAGGUGUUCCACUGCACGGCUGGAACCACUACAUCGCCACCUUUCUCAUCGGCCGCGGCUGCUCCCUCGACUACAUCGAGCCGCGAUCGCUUCGCAAGGAGGACACGAGGGACAUGGCGCUCUGGGCAUGGACCUCCAACCCCAAUGCCAUUCCCAAGGUCAAAUGGCUGACCCUGCCGGCUCGUGGUCAUCGCCGUCGCGGGCGCCGUGGCCUCCGUCACCGCGUCAUCAUCCACCUCGACCUACAUGAGGACCACUCCAAGGCUGCAGACGACGACGACAACCCGCAGCCCCGGAAGUCAACGAGUUUACCUGGUACAGGAAGAUGGUCGAUGGCACCUACACUCCAAGAGAGCGUCGGCCUGCUCAGGGGCGCACGGAGCGCCGCGAUGAUAGGCGGGAUGAUGAGGAUGACCGUGACGGCAGGCGUGGUCGUGGUGGUGAGCGUGCACGGGAGAGCUGGGGAGCCAGGGUGCGGCGCUCUCUCUCCCGAAGCGCCCGGGAUCGGCACCCGGCGGGAGGCCAGGACCGCACACGAGACCGCUCCGGCGGCCGUCGACGCGCUGACAACAGCCAGGCUGUUGUGGCCGCCCCCCCCCCCCCUGUGUGCCCUGGCUUGGUGCUUAGGGGCUCUGGCUCUGGCAGUGCCAAGCCUGUUCGUGCCCUGGAGCUGGCGGUCGUCAACGACCCUGCCGGCGUUGACGCUUGGGGGCGCAGUCCGACGCGCCAGACCUCUCCACGCUCCUCCAGGCGCCGCUCUCAAGAGGAGCGGACCCCCCCGAUGUCCCCUCCGUUGUCUCCGACAACCGUCCUGCCACCAUGCCUGA